AUUCAGAUAAUCCUGAUAUUCUACCGACAGGACGUCAGUAGGAUUUUCUUCGGUGUCUGCUUUUGGCUUCUGUUUGCUUUUGAGUCAGGUGAGUGGAUAAUUUUCCAUAUGCAUGAGAAAUAGUAUAAAUAUUUGAUUUGUUAUUAUGAAUUGAAUCAUGCUUCUUGAUAAUAUAUAUGUUGAUUAUUAUCCUUGUUAUGAUAAAGCAUGAUCAAUUGUUGAAUCUGAAUUCUUGAUAUGAACCAGUAUAUAUUUUGAAUUGAAUUCUGAAUUGAUAGCUCCUCAUUUGAUUGAUGUCAUGAGUUGAGCCUUGAGAUUUGAAUAUGUCUGUUUAAUUAUGAUUAUGAACCUAUGGUAUGUCAGUCAGAAUACCCAUGCUAACAGGUUAGUGUUAGUCUUUGUGCACAUCGUAUCUGAACCCUAGUUGGUCGGGGGAGUCACCAACCUGUGUGGACUGAUCAUCCCACAGUACGGAGCCUCAUGCUCAUUGCAUUUUGAUUUUCUGACGAGCUUUACCAUAUGAUAUUCUUGUUAUGGCCUAUUUGAAAAACCUUUCUAUAAGAACCUAGAGCCAUACUUGUAUAUAUAUUUCUCAUUGCUGUAUUACCUCGUGUGUGUAUAUUGAACGUUAUCUACUCACUGAGUUGUUGAACUCACCAUCUCAUUAUUUAUCCUUUUCAGGCUUAUAGCUUGAUAGCAGGUCAUUUUGUUGGACCUUCAGAACCUGCUUUUUGGUUGUAAUUUGUACCUUCCUUUUAUGUCAAGUUAGUGCUCCAAAACUAUGAAUUAUAUUAACUCUUGUAUUAAGACAAUUCAAUUAUAUUAUGAAGUUGAUUUUGUUGUUAAUGCUGCGUUGAACUCUGAUUGAGUUAGGAUAAGUUUGUGUGUAAGUUUGGGUUCGCAUAGGUAUGGAACCUUGGAGGGGAACCUUGC
rnacentral:lncRNA from 1 species